AGAAGUAUUUCGUCAGUCGAAGUGGACGUAUUAUUCCUGUGGACCUGUAGGAUAGUAUUCCUGCUAUUCGUGGAACAUCUUUCGGCCCACGGUACACUCGUAUUUCGAUCCUACGAAUCUUGAUUUAAGACCUGAGGAUGUAAUAGCCCCUUUUGCCGAUAGACGACAGUAAAAGUGGACUCUUUGUGCAUGUGACCCUUUAAACUAGACGUAUUCUUUGUCAGCAUCAAGCAAACGUCGCCAAAUACUUAAAAAAUUUACUUCAGUCGUGAUAAUUUCGUCGUCCGAAAUGAACACUUCAAUUUUUGUGACCUGUUGGAUCGCAUUCCUGCUGUCCCUGGGACAUCUGUUGGCUCAACCCACUCGCAACCAACCCAAUUGGAGGGCUCAACGAAAUCGGUUUGCUCAACACAAUCGUUUGGAUCAACCCAAUCCGUUGGCUCAACCCAAUCGUUUUUAUCAACCCAAUCCUUUGGAUCAACCCAAUCCGUUGGCUCAACCCAAUCCUUUGGAUCAACCCACCACGAAACCAGAGGAUUUCAUCCCUUCGAAUUCAAACAUGACAGUUGAGAACCCCGUCAAUCAAUGCGCAUUGUCAAAUUGUGGCAAUGAACAUCGUUUUCCACCAAGUUAAAUAUUAUAUAAAAAGCAAAACCGUUAACAUUUUUAUUUUUAUGAAAUAAAAGUAGACUCUACGUGACCCUGUAAA